rnacentral:rRNA from 1 species
CACCGCCCGUCCACACCAUGAGAGUUGGGGAUACCCGAAGCCUGUGAGCUAACUUUAUAAGGAGCAGCAGUCGAAGGUAGAAUCAAUGAUUGGGGUGAAGUCGUAACAAGGUAAC